CGGAGGGCGGGAGCGAGGCUAGGCGGGGUGGCUGUUCCGGCGUGUCCCAGCUGUGUCCCCGCUUUGUCCCCGGUGUGUCCCCGGUGUGCCCUGCUGCAGCAGCCGCGGCCCCGGGGCAGGUGACCGCUCGGUGCCCGCGGCCGCGGCGGGAGGACGAGCCGAGUCCCCGGCGAGCUAAAUGGCUGCGGGUCAAUGUCCGAGCAGUCACCGUGAAGAGACGCGACCCGAGAGCCAAACCCCCUUGGGGAGCAGCUGGCACUGUACCCACUCAGACACCUGCACCUGAACCGGAGUGUUCCCGCGCUUGGAACCUGCUCCACACUGUGAUAUCUCGUGUGACAUCUUAUCUCGUGUGACAUCUUCCCCCCUAAUUCUCAGCCUUAAAUGUACCAUUUUUAGCACGAGCUUUCAUUUCCCGUUCCCGAAAAUUUGUCUGUGGACACGUGAACUCUGACAAGAGGAACCUCAAAGAUUCCCUCCCUGAGCCUUGGAAUCUCCACCUUAUCGUUUUGGGGAUUGUCACUGACACAGACCUGAUGAAAACCUAAUUCCCACAUGUUCAGGUAACUCCAGAAUUUGCAAUCACAGACUGGGUUGGGUUUCAAGGCACCUUUAGUGAUGGUGCUAAACUGAACACAGGCAGCAGCAGCACCACAGCCUGGCCUCUCCUGGUAUUUAGGAGGAAUCAGGGCUUCUCUCACUCCUUCCUUCAGUUUUUAUCCCACAGCCUUGCCAGGGGGGCAGGUCCCAGUACUCCUCUCCCAUUGCGUCCACUGAUUCGUGGGGAGAGCGGUCUCAAGAACCGCGGUGGGUGUCAAGAACCGGAGAUGUGGGAGACCACGGCCCGGAGCCGUGGGGAACGGCCAGGAAACGGGAAAGGAAUUGCGUCCAAAGAGAUGCUGGGCAUGGUGUGAAGAACCGUGGGAAUACGACGAGGAAAUACGACGAGGCGAGCCGCGGAGCCGCGACCGAGAAUCGCGGGAGAGCUGCGGCCGUGAGCCGGGGAGACAGCGGCCAAAGAGUGGUGAAAAAUCCGCUGUGGAAGAUCCACGCACAAAUUACACACACAGGCCGCGGGUCUACACCGUGUGAAGACGCCGUGAGGGGACCCGAACAAAAGCCAGGGGACGGAAUCCGUGUGUGUGCGCCGCUGUGAAAGGGCUCCGGCGGGACGCAGUGCCCCGGGCGGCGCGGGGUGGCCGCUCCCGCUCCACGGGAAGCCGCGGUGGCCUCGGUGGCCGGCGGUGGCCGCGGUGGCUCCUCGCGGGUGAGUUUUAUCCUCCAGAAACCCCCGAGCCCCGGUCGGUUCGCGGCUCCCCGCGGAACGCGGGAGCUCUGCAGGCGGCAGCAGCCGGAGCACAUUUCCUGCUGGCGGCUCCUCCCCACAGCUCCGGUGCCGCUCCCUCGUCCCCUCACGGGCUCUGCGCGGGAUUUUCAACAGCCCGGCGGCUCUGCCGGGCCGGGCCCCGCAUGGCCGGCGUCUCUCCGCGGGCUCCGGGGCGGCAGGUGGGAGCCACAAGCGCUUUGUGUCUUUUUAACCUUUUCUGUAUUUGUUUUCGGUGUUUUUCCCCCUUUUUGCUACAUGCGCUCUUUAGAGGGGUUUUUUGUGUUGCCUUUCCCCCUCCGCUUUUCUACCGCGGCUGUUUUGGGGGGGUAGAGCCGGGAGGGCUGUGGCGGUCCGGCCCGGGCCCCUUCUCAAGGGCUGCCUCAGGACAAGGCAUCCUGCAUUCCAGGACAGCUAAAGUGGGAAUGUGUGGGCCCAGGGAGAAGGGAAUUCGGUGCCACCAUGCCUUGGCCGAGCGCCAUAGGGUUGAACCGCCCAUGGGUGUAAAGCACUAAAGUGUUGAGAAGGUCCCACAAGGUCCCACCCAUGCUUUGUCCUCCUCCAAGGGGAGCAGAGAGCGACACAAGUGACCAGUAGAGCCAAAGGAAGACAAAACACACGUGCCAUGGUCAGGCUGAGAAGACUGCAUCGCAACGUUGGUGGUCCGAGAGCCGCCUCAGAGGCACCUGCGCCGGGAGCCCCCAGGAGCCCUCCCCUUGCCUGGGGUCUCCUGGCUGCCACCGCUCCCGGCAAGGAGAGGAGAGAUCGCCCAGGUUAAUGCCCUACAUCCUACCACAGCACGGCUGGCUCAGUCUGCCUGCAUCUCCUUGUCACCUCCUGGCUCCCUGGGGACAGUGGUUCCCUCAAGCACAGGACUUGCUGGUAACCUGCUUUAUUUUCUUUUUUUAAAAAUUUCUUGGUUAAAAAGCCACCCCGCAUCUUUGCCCUUUUUUUUUUUUUUUUUGAAGAGUCCAACGUACGAUUAUAGUGCAAGAGGGCUUGGUACAAGUGAGCAUUACCAGCAUGCCGUGGGGGGACGGUCCUCCCCUCCAAACACAUCACUGUAGGAUUAAAAGAACACCGUAUCUCCAGAGAGAAGCUGUAGUGGGUCACCAUGAAACAGCUUUCAAACCAACCCACUUAAAAACAAGGUCAGGAAAGUUUCUAAACGAUCAAAUACAUUCACUUAAAAAAAACCAAAACAACAAAACCCCCCAAAAAACAAUGAAACAAAAGAAACCAAAAACAUUUAGGAACAAAACCUGUUGAGAUGGCCCCUUUCCCCCCCGCCCUCCCUCACCCUGCAAACACUUACAUAUGCUGCAACUACAAGCUGCUCCUUGAGUGGAGGCAGCGAGGAAUGACCAAACACGGCAGGAGAUGCAGAAGGAAUCGAGUUCUGGUGACAGGCACUUAGUGGGGCUUGGGAGGGCAGCAAUGGAAGUGUCUCAGGGCCCAGCUCCAUCGGCAGCGGGCAGGGCGGCUCCCCGGGGAGCGCCUGUGCCCCUGGACCCCCCUCCCAAGACGCCAAACCAUGGUUUCCUACAGCAGAGAGAGGAAUGCCUGUGCCAGAGACGCAGCUUCUGGGAGCCACUGGCAGCGGAGGAGUUCGGAAAGAGAAAGGUGGAAUGUGCCCAUGGCCGUGUCCUCCCUGUGGCAGGAGGGGACAGGGCUGCACGCCUGGCAUGUGCCUGGGGGAGAGGAGUGGUGCCCUUCCUGCCCUGUUCCCACCCUGGGCCUGGCCGGAGGAAAGCGCUUUGCCAAGGGGGAAGGAGGUGCCUGUGUGAGCCGAGGGCUCUGCGCCUCCACUGUGCUCACUGGGAUAAGGCAUGGAGAGAACACAGCAGGCAAUGAGGAGAGAUGCCCUGCAGGGAUCAUGGCCAGGAGGGAGGCUUUUCCACCCUGGCACUCCACCAGUGUCUGCCUGACUCAGGAAUGCAUGAGGAGCAAGCCCAGAGCUCGCUGCCCAGGCUGAUCUCCUGCCCUCUAAGCCUGCUCCUACCCAGCCAGGGAAACGGAACCUCCUGGCAAUGUUGCUCUGUGAACUCCAAGCAAUGCAGAUUAGCAUUAAAUCGAAUAAACAAUGAGCUCUAGUCUCUCUCUUUCCUCCCUUCAUUAUUCUCCAGGAUUCUGGGGUAAGCCAGGCCCAAAUUUAUGACAAGCGAACCAUUCCAGCCUGAUCUGGUGUCACACAUGGAAAGACAAAGUCAAACGAACCCACUUAUAACGUUCCCAAAGCUGCUUGAGUUCUCCCACAGCCCUGCCACCUCUCCAGUAACUUCUGUCAGCCUCAUCUCUCCAAUCUGGGAAAUGCUGCAGUUGGAUGCAAGAUUUCACUGUUUUUCUGGGUGUGCAAAGCACCCCAAGCCCUUUCCUGGCUAUUGGUUUGGCUCAAAGUGGUGCAGGAGAACCAUGGCUCCUCCUGGGGUGGGAUGGUGCGGGUGAACCUGCCCCGUGUUCACAGAGAGGACGUGAAGGCGAUUCCAGUCAAACCUAUCUGACCUUCGGGAGAUGGGGUCAGUGUUAAGGCAUGAAGUAUCCUCUCCCCUGCUUUGCUCCCAUUAAUAUAUUCUUGCAGAAGGUUCCCAACCACCCCAAGGAGGGAUUUGGGAAGGCUGCCUGGCUACCCACACUGAGAAACGCCCACACUUCAGGAAAUGGCUGUUUCUCAGGAACCUCAAUCCUGAUCUACCUCUUAAACCAGCACAAAUUUCUCCAGCUUGGCAAAGCCCAUGCGGCUCCCUCCGGCCCACGCCGGGCACCAGCCUCGCGUCUCCCAGCCAGCUGGGUCAGGCACGGUGUAGGAAACCAUGGAAAGGACAUUCACUGGCAGCUAGGAAGGGUGAUUGGAAAUUCAAGUAUGCUUUCCUCAGCGCGUGGCCCAAGGUGGGCGUCAGGAGCCCCAGACUGGCACGAGGGUUGUGGACAUCCCCACUCAAGGGCAUUUCCGUGCACCCCACCAUCCUCCCCGCUGGAUGUCUGCCUGCGCUGGCGUGGCCACGCAGAGAUCCACAGAUACAAUGUGCAUCUGUAAAUGCUAAAAAUAAUAAAAAGUGCAACGACGUCAGCUUCUUUAAAACAAUCCACACUGCUCUGUUACUGUCAGAGGAGGGAGGUGUCAAGGGAGCCGGAAAAAAAACCCUAACUGGAACAGUAGAUUGCAAAUUUCUCACAGCUUGCACAUUACAGUGUAACUGUUCCCAAGGAGCCACAGAGAGAACCUGUCUCUUCCUGCCGCAGCAGUCAGGCCCUUCUCCUAGCAACUCUCCUGCCUGCCCCGCAUCCUCCUGCCCUCUCCACAGCCGAUCGAGCCUAUGGAAUUUCUUCACUUAAUUAAGGAGGGAGGAGGACAGAGGAGCAGAGUGCAGGGGAGGGAGGGGAGGAAAGUGAGCAGGAACUAAGCACAGUCCUCAGGUUUGCGUCAACGAUGCCUUCGCCGUAAACAACGGGAAGGAGGGUCAGCCAGCCAGCCCCCCUCCCAGGGCGACCAAGACCUGAGCCAGCCACAGUCCUGGUCCCAAAAGGAGCUUCAGGCUUGGAGUGAAUGAGGGAGACCAUUCAGCAGAUCCACCCCAGAGUGGUUUGUUUUGGAACGUUUUCUUCUCUUUUUGGUUUAAAAUGUCACUUGGGUUUUUUUUUUUGUUUUCGUUUUUCUCUCUUCC